UGGAGCAUCCCAGGCAGCCCGCGCGCUCUCGCGCUAUCGCUGAGCCUAGGAGCGCGGGGCUCCAGGAGUUGGUGAUGGACAGGGAAGCCUGGCGUGCUGCAGUCCGUGGGGUCGCAAAGAGUCGGACAUGACUGAGCGACUGAACUGAAAUGAACAGAUUCACCAGGUGAAAGUAAUCCAGGCUUCCUUGCCUUUGGCUCAGCCAUUUUCCAGCCUAAGAGAGGUCCUUUGCCUCCUUCGUUCCCAGAAUCAUCUGCUGACCAGUCUGAGGUUAAACAAACCAUUUUUUCAGCUUCCCUCCGCCAACUGGCUACAGAGAGGAGCUUUUGGAUGUGGAGCAAGUAUCACCUUCAAAUGAAGCAAAUGGACAUGUUCUAGACGGACAGCACGUGACAAUAAAUAGAAUGAGUAAUGCAGAUAAUAGAGAAUCGUAAAUAAUGUGACAAAUGUACUGUAUAAUGUAGAGUAAUAAUACCAAGGAAUAUUUGGUAAGAGUAUUUCCUCUGAUAUUGAUGGUAACUUUGUCUGAAAGAGUUAAUUUAUCCCACAGUUCAGCUUAGUUCAGUUCAGUUGCUCAGUCGUGUCCAACUCUUUGCUGCCCCAUGGACUGCAGGACACCAGGCCUCCC
ensembl:lncRNA